rnacentral:rRNA from 1 species
UUCUUAAAGAAUGAAUUUUAAGUAAUUUCUGCUCAAUGAAUGAUUCAAUAGCUGCGAAAGCACUAAGGUAGCAUAAUAAAUUGUUUAUUAAUUGUAAACUGGAAUGAAAGAAGAAAUGGGGAAAAUCUUUCUUUAAUUUAUUUGAUUGAAAUUUAAUUUUUAGUAAAAAUGCUAAAGUUAGAUUUAGGGACGAGAAGACCCUAUAAAGUUUUAUAUAUGUGUUUAACAUUAUGGAAUUACAGAUAUAUUUUAUUGGGGCAAUACUUUAAUAUUAAAAUUUAAAGGAUUUUAAAGUUAUUAUAUAUAAGGAAGAGCCAUAAUUUAUGAUUACCAGAUUAAAUUACUUUAGGGAUAACAGCAUAAUUUAGAUUUAAAAGUUCAUAUUGAAAAUUUAGUUUAUGACCUCGAUGUUGAAUUAAUACGGCUAUUUGGCGCAAGAGUUAAAUGAGCUAG